rnacentral:rRNA from 1 species
GCUUACGGCCAUACCAGCCUGGGUACGCCCGAUCUCGUCUGAUCUCGGAAGCUAAGUAGGGUCGGGCCUGGUUAGUACUUGGAUGGGAGACCGCCUGGGAAUACCAGGUGCUGUAAGCA